rnacentral:lncRNA from 1 species
UAUCGGCUCGGUCCAUCUUAUCAAGUAUCUACAACAACAGCACAGACUUCAAGUAAUGUAAAAGUUAGUUGUUGAUGUAUCCAACAACGUUUCUAGGAUAAAUCCCUUUAUAAGAACAUUCAAAGUGGAUGCAAAGAGAUAUCGGAAGCAUCUUGUACUUAUUGACAGAUAGAUCAGCUUCAGUAACCCUGACAAGAAAAAACAAUCAAACCAACACAAUCAGGCAUUAAUUAAAAGCCAUUUACAUAUAUUAUAGGUAAUACCAAUAUCCACAGCAUUAAUUAGAUGUUCUAACAUUAAAAUUAAACCUGCAUGAAGAAAUACAAGGAAUUAGGUAAAUGUUAACUGCACAUUCUAAUUGCAAAUAUUCUUGUGAAACCAAAUCAACACAAAACAACCUCCAGUAUAUUGCAAAAAGAUCAAACACAAUCAAAACCACCCUGUUUUAAGAGGCAUUAGCAACAAUUCAGUACAGAUGUAGUCAUCUAUAAGUUAAAAUGACAGUUUCAAAUCAUAGGCAGGUGAGGCCCUCAUCAAGUCCAGGAUUUAUUCAUUUUCUGUGUUAUUCUGGAAUGAAGAUAAAGUCUGUUCUAGGGUAGUUGAUAAAUAAAAAUCAAACUGUGAGUAUCAAAUUGUUAACAUUGAUGCAUAAAUCACACCUUUCACCUUGAAAUUCAUACCAUUUAUUACUCUCUAAAAGGACAGAGGGAUCAAUACAGUUACACCAAAAAUGAAACUCGAAUUCCAAAGUUCCAAAUAGGUAUUAACACACUAUAAAUAGUUUCCAUUUAAGCGAAGACCUAUGUUAGAAGAAAUAUAUAUAGAAAUAUUCAAUUUAAGUAACGAACUCCCAUGCAGAUUCUUCCAGUAUUACAUUUAAGUUUAGUAUUUCUUCUAGGAUCUCUUAUAUUUAAUUUUUUUCAAGAUCUUUUUGUACCAAAUGUAUUUAUCACCAGCAUAAUGAAAGAGCAGAUCAUAAUAGAAAACAAAUAUUUCAAAAUGCCCACUUCCCUAAAACUUUGGAUUGAACAAAGCACUGAAAACCUAAUGAACUGUGUUACUUUCAUCAAAUAGCCUUAACUGCUAAAGUAGAAGCAUUUCUAAUUAUGUGAAAAGGUCAUGCCAAUUGACUUAUUAGUUUAGCAGCAAAAUAAAAAUAAUAAUAGCAAUAAUAAAAGAAAAUGUAAAGUCGUAGAUAAUAAAUCUAUUUCUUCAAAGUUGUUUAAGAUAAAGUUACAAAAUUUUCUGUAAACUUAAAUUUAACCAAAUUAACUAAAAAUACUACAGUUCUGGCAAUUGAUUACAUAGUAAAAGCUAAAAUAAUGCAUUUUUUUCCACUCAUUAAUCUAAUUUGGAAAAUGAGAAUUAUUAUUAACAUACAGUCUAUCCUGGCCUCAUAGCCUAGGGUUAAGACUUAAGAUCUAUGUUAGAUUCAUUAUUAGAUGUUAAAAUUUAGUCACCAGCAACAUGUUAAUCAACAGUCACCCGGUCCCUUGGAAUUAAAAAUUCAUAUCAUCUCCAAGAAUCCAUGAGACUUAGUCUAAAUUCCACACUCUCUUCUAAUCACGUGUAUCUAUAAAAAGAAAGACAUUCAUAUGCACAACAGAAUAAGGAUGAAACGAAUAAAGUUCACAUUAAAAAUCAUUCAAAACCUUUUCUAUCACAAGAACUACAAACAAAAUAAAAGAACUUUCAUCUUGAAUAUUAGAUCUAAAACUAAAAACCCCACAAAUAACUCAAGACUUGAGCUUCAGAAACUAAAUAAAAUCUCUCAAAUACAACCCAGAGACGUGAAAAACCUCCAGGAUCCACACAAAAAACAAUAAAAACAAAGCAGCCAGUACAGCAAUCUACUACUUUAAAAAAUAAGUUAGCUUAUACCCUUAAAACUCAAAAAUCAUAUCAGAGAACUAACUAAUUCAAUAAAGAAAAACAAACCCAGAUUAGUUUCCUUUUUUUUUGGGUAAAUGCAUUUUAUUCAUCCAAAGAAGCAGACCAAAUCUGCUACAGUAAACUUGUUAAAACUAAGACAUUACAAACAAAAAAAAAAUUAACUAAUUAAUUCAAUAAAGAAAAACAAACCCAGAUUAGUUUCAGCAGCAUAACUAAUUUUCUAUCAAGAUUGCUAGCAACCAUGUUGUGAGUGCCGGACUCUUAGUUUCAGUAAAGAGAAAUCACUCUUGAUAACCUCAAAUUCAAAAAAAAAAAAAAGAAAAGAAAAAUUUACCAAAUUUCCUUCUUUAAAUGAUUAGCAUACCAUCCAAAUGAUACUGUUAUAUAAAUAUAUAACAGUUCAAAUCCACGCAUACAUAGCCCAAAAACCUAACCAUAACCAUCAAUUAAUUUCCUAAACCAUGGAAACAAUAAGGUACGUAUAACACAUAAGAAGCAAAGUUACCUCCAAAAAGUAAGCUAUAAAGUCGAAAUUGAGGGCAAAAUUAAAGAAAUUAAAGAAGAAAACUGUGAACUAAUAAACAAUAAGACGAUUAAGCUCGAAGGAAAUGAAAAGAAAUUUGUAGAAAUACCGUGAAGAAAUCCAAAUUUAGAGAAAAUUUGGAGAAAACUGAAGGAUCUGACAGACGGGUAAAGCCAUGUUGAAAAAGCUGGAGAAUCUUUAAACAGAGAAAACCAAUUUGUUUUUGGUACGAAUAAAAGAAGAAGAGAAUUUGAGAAAGCGUGAAAAGAGAAAGGGAGAGAGGAAGAGUAGAAACCGAAAUUAUUGAUACGGGCGGCUCUAGGUUUUUUCGUUAACAAAAAGGAAGACCCAUUUUUUAAUUAUUUUAUUUUGUCUUUUAUGAAAA